UUUUUUUUUUGGUACAUGUACAUAAUUUUGUUUAGUAUUGUAUUGUGCAUUCACACUUUUUUGUGGUGUACCUGCAACUUUUUUGUCGAACUAACAACUGGUGAAUCGCACUUUAAAUUUUCUUUGUAUUGUUUUCUGUGAAUUUUUAGGAAUAGAAGCAACGCUAGAAUUAAACAUAUUAUGCAAAAUUUCUGGUUUAGAAGUACGAAAGUAAGUAUUUGAAUUUAAUUAAUAUUAGGAAAAGUCCUGGCUAUAAAGGGAAAGUGAAGAACCAAUUGGUUUUUCACUUAUUUUCAGCCGCCUAUCGUUUAGUAGUCCUACGAAAGUUCUUUCAUUACAGACGAACACUUGGAAGUGCUAAAAAUAUUCAAGGGCUCUUAUAUUAUGGGACGAAGGGAGUAAUAAGUUUCAGUUAAGGACAGCUCACUAAUUUGUAAUCACAUAACUAAUAUGAGGAUCAAUCUUUGCAAAUGAUACAGGGAAUUGCUAUGGAAACCGCAUAUGGCCUGGUUCACUUGUGCCUGGAGAACCAAGUCCAACCUUCGGAGCUCACCCUAGAGGAACUGGCACGGAUCGAUUUCCCUUGUGAGCGUGCUCAUGUCCUGUUGCAUGAUAAGGUGAAUGUCUUUGGCAAAUUCACCAGGCGAGAUCGAGAUGAUUCCAAGGAGAUGAUCAAAUGGUGUUGCAAGCUUCAGAUUAGUCCAAAAACUAUUUUCCAACGUUAUAUUAUUUAUUUUUAAUUAGUUGUGCUUGAUCAUUAGUGUUGAAUAGCCCAAGCCGAAGAUUUAGGUAAGCAUUCCUAGUUGGUUGUUAUUUGCUUUUGGAGAAAAGAAGCCUACAGAUUGAUCGUAUGGAAAAUGAUUAUAGUUGUUACCUUAGAUUUCGCUGUUGCCAUCUCCUUUUCAUAUACAAAAGCACUGUAUUAAACAUUGGCAUGUCCUCGGUUAUCUUUUCCACCUGCCCCCGCGUCGUCCGUUUUGGGCGGCUCGGGCGGCGACUCGAUCCGGUUUUCCCGGUAGCCGUCCCUGCGAGCCCUCCCCUCGCCGCCACCGGUUGGCGCCGCCGGGCUCGCCCGCGCGGCUGACGGUGGCGGUGGCUGGAUACUGUGAAAGCGGGAGUUGCAGCGGCGAUCCACGCGGGGAUGGAUCCGGCGGAAGCAUGGCUGUGGGUGGCCAGAUCGGCACCAUGCCGCCGCACCCGUGGACGCCAUGGACGGGGCUGUCACCAACGGCGGCGUCAAUUCCUCGGAUGGAGCACAUGAACCGCUCGUCUCUUCCUCGUCAUUGAGUGGAGAUCCGCCCGCGGUCGUCCAAGCGGUCGUGUCUAGUACUGCUGCGGCACCUCCAUUAGGGACAGCCCAGCCGGUGCGUGUACGGAAAACCAAGGUCCAACCUGAGAAUUUGCUCUUACCAUAGUCAUUGCCCCUGGGCUACCUCUGUGGUGUUGAAGCAGUGGCCCUGGCCGGACCUGCAUCUCCGGCGUGUUGGUCUCUUACUUGGCUCGGCCGCCAGGUCAAGGUGACACCGUGAAUCUGGCCAGCAUGCUGCUGGGCGGUCUUCGGCCAGGCGGUGGUCACCUCAAGAGGUUUGGACCUGUAUGAUCUGUGUCUGGCGAGGACGACACGGAGUUUGUGGCCGCGAGUCUGCUGUCGUCUCAUAUAGAUCAGCCUACGCUGCCAUUUGUGAGGAUGGUGCAUGGCCUUCGGAGUGUCCCGAACUAGGGAUUUCGUGGUGCUGCUGUCCUUCGUCUCCGUCAAAGACUUCUUCGAGUGUUGGCGAGUGGCUCUUGUCGAGUCUCGUCAGCCUACUCGUCCGGGCAUGGUCAUCAUUCGCCGUAAGGACCGUGCACACAUGCAACUAUUGGGAUCGAGGCAAGUGAAGGAGACAACAUAAAAUGAUUUCCAUUUGGUGGUACUUCUCGAGUACCCAAUCUAGAGCUCCGGGGUGAAAACUCUGGUCUGACCUAGUUGGUUAUACCUGGCAAUGGCGGCGUUCUUUACGUCGUUACCCUGAUGACGGCAUUGCUCGGAGUUUGCUCAGAUUUGCUCUUCAGGGUGAAAACCCGUGAGCCAACCCUUGGUGGUUGGAUUUGGCGACGGCGGCGUUUGUGCGUCGUUCCCUUGUUGGAUGCGUCGCUUUUGGAGAACCCUUCUCAGAGUCUUUAUAAUGUCAAGAGAUGAUUGGGGCCGAUGGUCACCGUUGUACAUCGUCAAUCGUUGUUUCAUUGCUUCGAAUUUUUUUUCUUUUCUUCCUCCGCCUAGGCAUAGCUUUGGUCUUUGCAUGACUUUGCCUUUGCCGGCGUGAUCAUUUGUGUGUGUGUGUUGUGCUGGCUGUGUGCAUCUUAGUUAUGCAGAGGCCGGAUGUACUCAUCAUGAUUGUAUCCCUCGAUGUUAUUGUAUGAGUCAAUAAAAAACACCCUUUUUCGAAAAAAAAACAUUGGCAUGUCGCACAUCUAGGAACAAGAGAGCGUUUCAUCCACGAUAGGUGGCUUUUGACCAUUUCACGUGAAAAAGAAAGUCAUCAAGAAAUUAGUCUUGGGUGCUUACUAUGAACCAUGGCCUACCUAAUGAGUAUGUCCAUCUAUUUCUUAUACAUCAGGAACUUCGUCAUGACCAUUGGCCUGAAUAUAUUGUGCCUUGUGCUUUAUAAGAUUUUCUUGAUGAUUAAUUUCUUAUACAUCAGGAACUUCGUCAUGACCAUUGGCCUGAAUAUAUGGGACCAUGCCAUACCAACUAAACUGGCCAUGGCAACUUUAUAAGAUUUUCCAUGAUCGGAGGCGAGUUGUCAUGUAGCACAAAAAAUGGCAGAAAAAUUGCCACUGCGCAGAAAAAUUGUCAUCCGUUCGACCAUGAUCCGGCGGCUUUAAGGGCAUUCGCUGGGAGCCCUAAAGAUCAUCAAGCGGGGUCAAAUUUUAAAAAGCAUACAGCAAGAAAACGUAUAAUUUUGCUGGGUCUCAUGAGAUAGAUGUGUAACAAAUUUCAGAGCUUAAACACCUGACCGAUGCUUUCAGUAUAAUACAGAUAUCCUGUGAGUUAGCUAACCUGAUUAAUAGAGCUGUUGCUGCGUGCAUUUAUUGAGAUGCAAUCCUGCUUAUCCGGAACAAAAAUGAUCAAGCCGCACCUGCAUAUUGGUGCAAAUAUGACCAUGUGAGUAUCAGCGUCAGCAUUAAUUAUUAUUGUAUCAGAAAAACAUGGUUAAAUCUUAGAAAGCCGGGCACUUCAAACCCGUCAAAAACGCCCGGGCAGACACUUCAGUUAGCGACCGGUCACAAAAAUAAAUGCGGCUCAAACGGGCGCCUCAAAUGAGCCUCAAACACCCUUGUAUCCAGCUCAAAUAUAGGACAGAUAUGAUGCGACCAGGCGUGUCCGUCACGUCGGACCCGGCCCAUGCUGGCCCGCCCGACCUCACAUAUAUCCGUUCUCAUCCGCUCGGCGGACCAAACCCUAGCCACUCCCCUUCGCCACCCAAGUUCCCGUUCGGCGAUCUUCGGACUUCUCCGGCAUGGCGCACAGCGGAUCUGACGAUGACCAGUACGGAUUCGUCGACUGGGGUGUCGUCCCGUGCGGUUUGGAGGAGGCAAUGACCGUCCGAAUUGCACUUUGCCGUUCCCGGGAGGACAACGCCCAGCCAACGGCAGGAUCUGCCCUACGCAAGUCCAAUCUUCCUUUCCCCAUCACCGAUUCGCUGAAGUAUGAGUCCACCCGGGACUGGUGUGUCCGCCGUGGGCAGGAGGGGAUGAGGGUGGGCAGGCCCACCUCGCAGCUGAAAUGGUGGUGGCGGAGUCGGCUGAUGCGGCGACGUGGGCUACCGCAGAUGAGGAAGCCAUCUGCGCCCGCAUUGUAAAGAAGCAACAGCGAAGGAACACACACGCCCUCACCCGAGAGCAGAAAUCGAGCGGUCCGUACCAUCGUCGGACUGCCCCCUAAGGAGAAGAAGGAGCAUAGUGAUGGGUCGGACAGCUGCGGCUAUGAGCAAAUCCGGUUCGAUCCAUGUUUCGUCUUCGAUCGCUACUUGCACGAUAAGGACAACAAGGGCGCCAGAAAGGGCAAAGGCAGGCGUGGAUGAUCUUUUCCAUAGGUAGCAUGUAGGUUAAACAUGUCAAAUUUUGGUAGUCCGAUGACAUGUACUGAUGUAGUAGCCGGAUGAUGUGUCAAUGCUUCGCUUACGUAGUUCCAUGAGUUUAUAUGGAUUUGAAGUAUGCUAACUGAGGUGUUUAACUGUGAAAUCGAUUAUCCAAGGUGUGAUCGUUUACUGCCCGGAUGCGUCCGCAGUCUUGAAGAGUCGAUUUGUCAGGUCCGGCCGUAGAUACCCUAAGGACUUCCGUGGCGAUCACAAAGAGCAAGAAGGAAAUUGGAUCCCCUGCCACAGUCCUCGCGUGAGAAAAGCUUCUUGCUGGAACCCCGUUCACAAUCGGUUUCGUGCUUACCGAGUACAAUAGGAUAGCCAUCCAUCUUUUUUUUUGCGAGAGAUAGCUAGCCACCAUCUUAACGAGUCAAAGCCUUUCACUAUGUGUGUGUGUUUCCACUCUGUGUGUUGACUCUCUUUUUUUUGUGGAAAAGGAGCUUUAUUAAACAAUGAUAGGAUUACAAUCAGCAGCCAGCAAGUUAUUCAGAGCCUGUGGGGCAUCUUGCAACCACAAGUCGGUUCGAUGCUCCGCUCUCGACAUAUAAGCUAGCCGAUCUGUAGCCCUAUUCUGCAAACGAUCAAUACAUAAGAAAACAUGCUCCCUUUCACUCAACAACUCCUUAAUCUCUUAUAUCAAUUGACUGUUGACUGAUGUAGGACGGUAGGAGCAUCGGUCAAGAUCCUAAAGACUACCAGGAGACAGGGAUAUCACGCACACACUACACGUGCAGCACAUGCUAACAAUUCCACCACGCGGGCCCUAGUCCAGAUUGCUUGGCUGCCACGCCUCACUCACAACCAGGUGACGCGGCCUCGGCUCCUCUUCGAUAGCGAUUGGCUCAGAAUACUGGCCCACCACCGCACAGCUGGCACUCGGCCGUUGCGCGUCGACCGGAAAGCGAGCCCACCCCACCCCAGACCCCUCAUCUCCGCCGUCCACCGCGCAUCCAACGCCGCACGCACCCCCACCAUAGGCGGUUCGCCGUCACACCGGCUUUCCUACCCCGAACCGCCUCCACCUGCCCCUAUAAAAUGAGCCCCUCCCCUCCCCCUCUCUCCUCCUCUCCUCUCUCGCGGAGGGGACCGGAUAAGAUCGAGAUCCCCUCCGCCUCCGGCGAGGUCGGUCGAAAAUCCGAGGGGCGAGAUGGACGCGCGGUUCGCGCACUCGCCGGCGGAGGCGGCCAAGGUGCAGCUGGUGCAGUUCGGCAUCCUCAGCCCCGACGAAAUCGUAAUGCUUCCUCCCGCCGCCACCUUGCUCUGUUUCGUUCCUCUUCUCUCUCUGCUUUCGGGUGGAGUCGGAAGUAGCAACUCGAGCGGGUCUGGUUUGUGUGGUUGGGCUAGUUUCCGGUCGAACUCGAAAUCUGAGAUGAACGAACGAACCGCCAUGGGGGCACGGCGCCGGUGCUGGUUGUUAGCUUCAAAUCUGCGGUGUCAGUUUGGGGAGGGAACUGGUUUCCGGUCGAAGUCUGGAUGGAUGUAUGAACGAACUGGUUGUUGGAUUUGAUGUGUGGUGUCGGUUUGGUUGGGCUGCGAACGAACUGGCCGAGUUAGAUGAAGCAGAAUCAUUGUAACUUAACCAAGUUCAAAAUUACGAAAAAGUGAAAAACCAACUUACCAAGGGUGGUUGUUAAUUCUGACAGAGGGAACAGUACCUGUGGUUGCUGUUUGGCUGAGUCGGUGUGCGUUUUGCUAACUCGAACAGGGAACUAGUAGUGUUACUCGAGCAGGAUUAAUUACUACUUGGUUUUAACUCGUGACAUUCAUGGUUCGUUUUGAGUUACAAGUUGUGCUCGGUGUGUCAAUAUCAAUACUACUGAAGUGGGGUCCGAAAUUUGGUCAAGUUGAACUUGGCAUGCAGUUGUAUCACAUAUGGGACACAAAAGAAGUUUUGAUCCGUCUAACAAAAUGCUAAUAAAUGCUCUUAUUAACUGCUGUAAGUUAUUUGGAUAACUCUGAGCUUGGCAGUUUGCACAGUUUUGGGUAUAACAACUGCUGAUACACAUGAUUUUACUACAGUAUGCCAGCACUUUGAUUGGGCCAUGAUCAAUACAAGUUUGAAUAAAAGUACACACGUCUGGUGCUACUUGCAGAAGUACGUGUAAUAAGAUGGAUUUGGCAGGGUUUAACAAUUUAAUGGCUGGGUUUAAAUGAACAUUGACCAUUGUAAUGAUGGCAGGUGGUCAGUAAUGUGUAGGUAUCACAAAUUUUAGGAUGAAUCGAAUGUGAAAGAUUCUGUGUUGCUUUGCUUGUUUGCAGAGACAAAUGUCGGUGGCGGUGAUAGAGCAUGCAGAGACCAUGGAGAAGGGGAAGCCCAAGCCUGGUGGUCUGAGCGACCCUCGCCUGGGCACCAUUGACCGCAGGACCAAGUGCGAGACAUGCAUGGCCGGGAUGGCCGAGUGCCCGGGCCACUUCGGCCACCUCGAGCUCGCAAAGCCCAUGUUCCACAUCGGCUUCAUCAAGACCGUGCUCUCCAUCAUGCGCUGCGUCUGCUUCAACUGCUCCAAGAUCCUCGCCGACCAGGAUGAGGAUGAGGUCUCCUUUCCUUUUAAGACAUGUACCUGCGCAUUAAGUAUUUAAGUUUACCAGGUUAAUUGUUGGUCGGUGCAUAUCAUCAUCUAGCUAAACUGACAUCAUAAUAAUCUUAGUUCUCACCAUUCACUAGCUAUAUUUAUGUUUGUCCAAUUCUGCACCUGUUCACUCAACAUGCAUGGUAAAUUUGAACUUUAUAGAAUCUUUCCGACGGUUUGGUGUGAUGGACCUGUAGAUGCAAUUGCUUUAGAUAGACUGCUUGCAUCUUUGUUAUGGACCUGCAACUCACAUCCGAAGCCAAGAAUAUUUUUGUGAAUUUUCGGUCUCUUUGAUAGAGCCUGCUAUUGGUAGAACAAAAUAAGAAUGCAUUGAUGAUGUCAUGUGGGGCACGUUCUACAGGCGUGGGCCACGCGGCCAGGAGCAGCAGCCGUCGGCCGCAUCAGGCGAGGCGUAGGCUGGGCAGGAGUCCUGGUCCUGAUACAUUAGUUCCUAGAAUAAAAGACUAGUUUGUUACGUAUAGGUUUCUAGUUUGUUAGCAGCCCAUGGGGCCUUUAUAUAUCGUAUAAUCAGCACCCUUUGAGGGCAAGCAAUAAAGUUAUUAUCUCCUACCUCUUCCUCCGUCUCCUAUCCUCUCCUCCCGCACCAUUGAGCAGCCAGGCAAAAACCCUAGCGCUCCUAUCCACCGAGACUACGGACUACGUAGUUGAGGCCCCGCUGUCUUGGGCACUGAGGCCCUUGACAACUUGGUAUCAGGUUCCAGCCGCUCCUCGGCCUCCUCCACGCUGCACCCGCCGCCCCGCCCACCUCCAUCGCCGCCAUCCGCCACCGCCUCGGUUUCUUCCGCCAUGUCGGAACCCACCACCGCUGAUUUGGCCAAGAUGAUCGAAGCCCUGACUGCAACCGUGACAUCCCUGCAGUCGUCCGUGGCAGCCCUCCAGAAGGAGAAGUCGGCCUCCUCGUCAGCCGCCAAUAUCAGCCACGACGGACAGCACCACAACGAUCGGCCCCCGCGGUUUCAGAAGAUGGACUUCCCCAAGUUCGACGGCAAGUCCGACCCGCUCGCUUUCCUCAACAGAUGCGAGUCCUUCUUCCAUCAACAACGGAUCGCCGAGGAGGAGAAAGUCUGGAUGGCGUCAUACUACCUCGAGGGUUCUGCCCAGCUGUGGUACAUGCAGGUCCAGCGUGACGAGGGCACUCCGCCGUGGCGCCGCUUUUCCGAGCUGCUCAACCUCCGCUUCGGGCCUCCUCUGCGCGCGAACCCGCUGGGCGAACUGAUGGCGUGCAAGCGCACGACGUCCGUCGUCGACUUCCAGGAGCGGUUUGAGGCGCUCCUUCCCCGGGCAGGCUCCUUGUCGGAAACGCAGAAAGUUCAGAUCUUCACCGCAGGCCUCCAGCCACCCCUCAGCCUCGACGUGGAAAUCCAUAACCCGCAGUCCCUCGCCGUCGCCAUGAGCCUCGCCCGCAAAUUGGAGCUGCGCGACCAGUGCGCGCUUUCCGCCGCGCCACCGGUGCGUUUUCCGCAGAAGGGCAUUCUGCCGACGCCAGGACCACGCCUCGCGCCCCCCCCGCACCGGCCCCACCAGCCGCACCCCAGCAUGGCCACAGUCUGCCGGACGGGCGCCCAAUCAAACGUCUCUCCCAGACAGAGAUGGAGGAACGCCGUCGCCUGGGCCUAUGCUUCAACUGUAACGAGAAGUUUGGCAGGGGCCACAACCGCGUGUGCCAGCGCAUCUUUCUCCUCGACUUAGCGCCGGACGACGACGACGACGACGCGGCCUCCGCUACUGAUGAUGCAUCGCGGGCCGACCCUCAGAUCUCGCUCCACGCAAUCUCCGGGGUGCGCACGAGCGAAACCAUGCAGAUGCAUAUUACUCUCGGGGGUGUCUCCCUCCUCGCCCUGAUCGACUCAGGCUCCACCCACAACUUCAUCGCCGAGGAGGCGGCCGCUCGUGCUACGCUGCCAUCCCCCACCACCGAGAAGAUGCGCGUCACGGUGGCCAACGGCGAGCGCGUUCCGUGCCAGGGCACGUACCGCGUCGUGCCCUUCCGCAUCGGCCAAGAGGAGUUCUCGGAGGAUUUCCUCGCCUUGCCGCUCGCGGGCUACGACAUCGUCCUGGGCACGCAGUGGCUGGCGACGCUCGGACCGAUCCUGUGGGAUUUCCGCGCCCUCUCCAUGACAUUCUGGCGGAGGGGCCAUCGGGUGUGCUGGCGCGGCAUUGCAGGACCGGACGGGCCAGCCCUGAAAUCAUGCAGCGGCCGCGACUUCCUCGACGCCAUCAUCACCGAGUUCGACGGCAUCUUCGCCGAACCCUCCGGCGUGCCACCGCCCCGCAGCCGCGACCACGGCAUCACCCUGCUGCCCGGUUCCGCCCCGGUGGCCGUCCGUCCGUAUCGCUACCCGGCCGCGCACAAGGACGAGCUGGAGCGUCAGUGCGCCGCCAUGCUCGCCCAGGGCAUCAUCCGAGCGAGUUGUUCCGCAUUCUCGUCCCCGAUAUUGCUGGUCCGCAAGGCUGACGGGUCCUGGCGCUUCUGCAUCGACUACCGCGCCCUAAACGCCAUUACUGUCAAGAAUGCGUUUCCGAUCCCGGUGGUGGACGAACUCCUCGACGAGCUCCGGCACGCUCGUUUCUUCACCAAGCUCGACUUGCGCUCCGGCUACCACCAGGUGCGGAUGCGUGCGGAGGACAUCCCGAAGACCGCCUUCCGUACUCAUGACGGCCUCUACAAGUUCCUGGUGAUGCCGUUCGGCCUCUGCAACGCGCCGGCAACGUUCCAGGCCCUCAUGAACGAUCUGCUGCGGCCGUACCUGCGCCGUUUUGUUCUCGUCUUCUUUAACGACAUCCUCAUUUUCAGCGAGACAUGGGCUGACCAUCUCCGACAUGUGCGCACCGUCUUCACCGUCCUGCACCAGCACCGGCUCUUCGUCAAGCGAUCCAAAUGCGCAUUCGCCGUCGAGUCGAUCUCAUACCUGGGUCACACCAUCUCCGCUGCAGGAGUGGCCAUGGAUCCGGAAAAGGUGCAGGCAGUGGCCGAAUGGCCGCAACCACGCUCGGCGCGCGCGGUUCGGGGGUUUCUCGGCCUUGCGGGGUACUACCGCAAGUUUGUCAAGGAGUUUGGCGUGGUUGCCGCGCCACUAACGGCCCUCCUUCGCAAGGAUGGUUUCUCCUGGUCGCCGGAGGCGGCAGCAGCUUUUCACGCCCUCAAGACGACAGUCACCACGGCUCCCGUCCUCGCGUUACCGGAUUUCACGCGGCCGUUCAUCGUCGAGUGUGACGCCUCGACAUACGGCUUCGGGGCCGUCCUUCUUCAGGACCAACACCCGGUGGCUUUCUUUAGCCGGCCAGCCGCGCCACGUCACCGUUCCCUGGCAGCAUAUGAACGGGAACUCAUCAGCCUGGUGCUCGCGAUUCGUCACUGGAGACCGUACCUCUGGGGGCGCCAAUUUAUGGUAAAAACGGAUCACUACAGUCUCAAAUUUCUAUUUGACCAGCGUUUGGCAACCAUCCCGCAGCAUCAUUGGGUCGGCAAACUACUGGGGUUCGACUUUACCGUGGAGUACAAGGCCGGUAGUACAAACACGGUGGCGGAUGCCCUUUCCCGCCGCGACACGGAGGAGACGUCGAUCAUGGCGAUCUCGGGUCCUCGCUUCGACUUCAUCGAUCGCCUCCGGCAAGCGACGUCCACAGAUCCGGCGCUCGUCACGCUGCGUGAGGAUAUCACGGCGGGUACGCGGCAGCAGUCGUGGGCUCUCUUCGACGGCCUCGUCACUUUCAACGGCCGCCUCUACAUUCCGCCAUCGUCCCCGCUACUCCAGGAGAUUCUCAGUGUCGUGCACGAUGAUGGGCAUGAAGGCGUCCUGCGCACCUUGCAUCGUCUCCGCCGCAACUUCCACGCACCUAACCUUCGCAAGACGGUGCAAGAGUACAUCCGCACUUGCAGUACUUGCCAGAGGUACAAGUCCGAGCACUUGCACCCCGCUGGGCUGUUGCUGCCGCUGCCGGUGCCCACGGGCGUGUGGACUGACGUCGGCAUCAACUUCGUGGAAGCGCUCCCUCGCGUGGGCGGGAAGUCUGUCAUCCUCACCGUGGUGGAUCGCUUCAGCAAGUAUUGCCACUUUGUGGCGCUGGCCCACCCGUACACGGCAGAAUCAGUGGCGCAGGUGUUCUUCGCUGAGAUUGUUCGUCUCCAUGGCGUGCCGCAGUCCAUGGUCUCUGACCGCGACCCCGUCUUCACCUCGGCUUUUUGGCGGGAGCUCAUGCGCCUCACCGGGACAAAGAUGCACAUGACGUCAGCGUUUCAUCCACAGUCGGAUGGCCAAACGGAGGCUGCUAACAAGAUCAUUGUGAUGUACUUACGUUGUCUCACCGGGGAUCGUCCCAGGCAGUGGCUCCGGUGGCUUCCCUGGGCCGAGUACAUCUACAACACCGCCUACCAGACAGCGACCCAAGAAACUCCGUUCAAGCUUGUGUAUGGUCGUGACCCUCCCACUAUUCGCUCUUACGAGCCGGGCGACACGAGGGUAGCCGAAGUGGCCAGGAGCAUGGCGGAGCGCGACGAGCUUCUCGAGGACGUCCGCUAUCGUCUACAACAGGCACAGGCGGUCUACAAGUCCUACUACGACAGACGCCAUCGGGACAUCCGGCAUGACGUGGGCGAUUGGGUCUGGCUUCGCCUUCGCCAGCGCGCCGCGUCCUCUCUCAACUUGCCAACCAGGGGCAAGCUCAAGCCACGCUUCUAUGGGCCGUACCGCAUUUCAGAGGUCGUCAACGACGUGGCUUACCGCCUUGAGCUUCCGGCACGCUCGCGCCUCCAUGACGUGUUCCACGUGGGCCUCCUCAAGAAGUUCUUCGGCACGCCUCCAACUGCACCGCCGGGUUUGCCUCCGAUCCACAACGGAGCGGCUGUUCCAGAACCGGAGCGCGUGACUCGUGCGCGCCUAGCACGCGGCGUUCGCCAGCUACUCGUCCACUGGAAGGGUGAAGCAGCAUCAUCAGCUACAUGGGAGGAUCUUGACAGUUUCGUCGAGCGCUACCCCGCUUUUCAGCUCGAGGACGAGCUGCUCGUCAAGGGGGGAGAGAUGUCAUGUGGGGCACGUUCUACAGGCGUGGGCCACGCGGCCAGGAGCAGCAGCCGUCGGCCGCAUCAGGCGAGGCGUAGGCUGGGCAGGAGUCCUGGUCCUGAUACAUUAGUUCCUAGAAUAAAAGACUAGUUUGUUACGUAUAGGUUUCUAGUUUGUUAGCAGCCCAUGGGGCCUUUAUAUAUCGUAUAAUCAGCACCCUUUGAGGGCAAGCAAUAAAGUUAUUAUCUCCUACCUCUUCCUCUGUCUCCUAUCCUCUCCUCCCGCACCAUUGAGCAGCCAGGCAAAAACCCUAGCGCUCCUAUCCACCGAGACUACGAACUACGUAGUCGAGGCCCCGCUGUCUUGGGCACUGAGGCCCUUGACAGAUGGCGUGCCCCCCUAGCAGUGCAUAUUUCAUCAGUUGUUGUCUUUGGUAAAAUAAUCAAGUACCAUGGAGCAUAAUUAAUUACAAACAACUUUACAGUUUCAUCUGAACCAAUUCUGAAAAGGUUGUUCUUGCAUGUUAGCUGCUAAUUAAGCACUGUCAUAGGGUGGGCAUCUAUAUAUGCUUGUGUGCCUGAGUGCCUCUCUUGAUCUUGGCAUGUUAUUGACCAGUCUGGUAUCUCUUGCAGAAGGGUAAUAACAAGUUCAAGCAGGCUCUGAAAAUCAAGAACCCAAAAAAUAGAUUACGAAAAAUACAGGAGGCUUGCAAGAGCAAAAAGGUUUGUUCUGCGGGUGAGGAUGAUCUUGAGGGUCAGGACACCGAUGAGCCAGUGAAGAAAAGAGGUGGCUGUGGUGCUCAGCAGCCAAAGAUCACAGUUGAUGGUAUGAAGAUGGUUGCAGAGUUUAAAGCAACAAACAAGAAGAACGGCGAUCAAGAUCAACUCCCUGAACCAGUGGAGCGAAAGCAAAUUCUCUCUGCCAAUAGGGUAUGUACACUAUUAUCUUUAUUUACUCCAUUAAAUACUAGGUUAUAAAAAAAUCAUCUAACCACCUCAUGGUAAAUUUCUUGGGGCAGGUUCUUAAUGUUCUCAAGCGUAUAAGUGAUGAGGAUUGUCUUUUGUUGGGCCUGGAUCCUAAAUAUGCUCGUCCUGAUUGGAUGAUACUGCAAGUCCUUCCAAUUCCUCCGCCGCCUGUGAGACCAUCUGUCAUGAUGGACACUUACUCCAGAAGUGAGGUUAGCCCAGUACUAGUAAAUUAUGACUACGAAUCCAAUGGUUUGUUGGUUGACAUGGCAGAUGGCACCCUUUCACUCACUGUUUGUUUAUCUUGCCGGUUCCUACAGGACGAUUUGACUCAUCAAUUAGCGAUGAUAAUUCGGCAUAAUGAGAAUCUGAGGAGGCAAGAGAGAAAUGGAGCCCCAGCCCACAUUAUAACAGAGUUUGCUCAGUUGUUGCAGUUUCACAUUGCAACAUACUUCGACAAUGAUCUUCCAGGGCAACCAAGGGUGAGUAGUCAGUCUACAAGUGCACUUUCCACAUUAAUUAAUCACUAAUGCUAUGUGGUUGACCUGAUUAUCUUCUGCCGAAAUAUUCAGGCCACUCAGCGUUCUGGAAGGCCUAUCAAGUCAAUCUGCAGCAGGCUGAAAGCAAAAGAAGGCCGGGUUAGAGGAAACUUAAUGGGGAAGCGCGUUGAUUUCUCAGCUCGUACCGUCAUCACACCAGACCCGAAUAUCAACAUUGAUGAAUUGGGGGUGCCAUGGAGUAUUGCUUUGAAUCUGACAUACCCAGAAACUGUUACUCCAUAUAACAUCGAGAGGUACGUAAUUUAUUUGCCAUUAACAUGUAAUCACUGUUCUUUCAUUGAUACUCCCUCUGUUCACAAAUAUAAGAUGUUCUAACUUUUUUGUGAAUCGGAUGUAUAGACACGUUUUAGUGUGUUUGUUCACUCAUUUCAGUCCGUAUGUAGUCCAUAUUGAAAUAUCCAAAACAUCUUACAUUUGUGAAUGGAGGGAGUAUUUGAUAAGUCAUGUCUAAAUCUGAUCUGAUUAUACCAGGUUGAAAGAACUGGUAGAAUAUGGGCCUCACCCUCCCCCAGGUAAGACAGGUGCCAAGUACAUUAUCAGGGAAGAUGGCCAGAGGCUGGAUCUUCGCUAUCUGAAGAAAAGUAGUGAUCAGCAUUUGGAGCUGGGUUACAAGGUUAGUACUAACAGUCACAGUUGCAGCAUCCACUAUUUUAACUAAUGGUGACAUCACAAAAAGUGCUCACCCAUUUUGUGCUUGACUUCUCAGGUGGAAAGGCACCUUGUUGAUGGAGAUUUUGUUCUUUUCAACCGGCAGCCCAGUCUUCACAAAAUGUCUAUCAUGGGGCAUCGCAUCAAAAUCAUGCCCUACUCAACUUUCCGCCUCAACUUGUCUGUCACAUCACCAUACAAUGCAGAUUUUGAUGGGGAUGAAAUGAAUAUGCAUGUUCCCCAGUCAUUUGAAACCAGAGCUGAGGUUUUAGAGUUGAUGAUGGUGCCAAAGUGUAUUGUGUCACCUCAGGCGAAUAAACCUGUUAUGGGUAUUGUCCAGGACACACUUCUUGGCUGUCGAAAAAUUACCAAAAGGGAUACUCUCAUCGAAAAGGUGAACUAACAAUACUCCUUAAACAACACCUUCAGUAGUAGUAUUGUCUCUGUAGUUUUGUAGCUUAUAACUAAUGUUGUGAAGUUUCUUCCAGGAUGUAUUUAUGAACAUCUUAAUGUGGUGGGAAGAUUUUGAUGGGAAGGUCCCUACCGCUGCCAUUUUGAAACCAAAGCCGAUUUGGACAGGCAAACAAGUUUUCAACUUGAUUAUCCCCAAGCAAAUCAAUUUAAUUAGAUUUUCAGCCUGGCAUGAUGCUGAUGCUGAAAAAGAAAGCGGAUAUAUUACUCCCAGCGAUACUAUGGUAUGGAUAGAGAAGGGAGAGCUUCUGUCUGGUAUACUUUGCAAAAAAACACUUGGGACAUCAAUGGGAAGUCUUAUUCAUGUUAUUUGGUAAGUUAUAAAAGUCGUACUGCAGUUUCUCUUUUUAGUACAGAUGUUCUCCACUGCUAAAUAAUAAUUUUGGUUUAACUGUUUGCAGGGAAGAGGUAGGGCCAGAUGCUGCGCGCUAGUUCUUGGGUCAUACACAGUGGCUGGUCAACUACUGGCUUCUGCAAAAUGGUUUCAGUAUUGGAAUCGGGGAUACAAUUGCAGAUGCAGGUACUAUGGGUAAGAUUAAUGAUACAAUUGCAGAUGCUAAGAAGGCUGUGAAUGAGCUUAUCAAGGAAGCGCGUGACAAGAAGUUGGAACCUGAGCCAGGGCGCACAAUGAUGGAAUCAUUUGAAAAUAGAGUGAAUCAUGUACUACUGCUGAAUGACAUUGUUUGGUUAUUUCAUCGUCAGUUUCUUUGGUAGACCUGUUUUGACAUAUCCGUUUUCCAUGCUAGGUUCUUAACAAGGCUCGUGAUGAUGCUGGUAGUAGUGCUCAGAAGAGUUUGUCUGAGAGCAACAAUUUGAAAGCUAUGGUUACUGCAGGCUCAAAAGGCAGUUUCAUUAAUAUUUCGCAGAUGACUGCUUGCGUCGGACAGCAGAAUGUUGAGGGCAAGAGGAUCCCAUUUGGAUUUGCUGGUCGUACAUUGCCCCACUUCUCGCAAAAUGACAACGGUCCCGAAAGCCGUGGAUUCGUGCAGAACUCUUACCUUCGAGGCCUGACACCAGAGGAAUUCUUCUUCCAUGCUAUGGGUGGUAGAGAAGGUUUGAUCGAUACUGCUGUAAAAACUUCUGAGACUGGAUAUAUUCAGCGGAGGCUCGUGAAGGCCAUGGAGGACAUCAUGGUGAAAUAUGAUGGUACCGUGAGGAACUCCCUGGGUGAUGUCAUUCAGUUCUUGUAUGGAGAAGAUGGCAUGGAUGCUGUUUUGAUUGAACCGCAGAAAUUGGACACCCUGGGGAUGAAAAAGGCCGAGUUUGACAACGUAUUUCGUUACAAACUGGAUGAUGAGAACUGGAGGCCCACUUACAUGUCGCCUGAACAAGCUGAUGAUUUGAAGACCAUUCGUGAUAUCAGAAUUGUGUUUGAGGCAGAGAUUCAGAAAUUAGAAGCUGACAGAUUACAGCUUGGGACUGAAAUUGCCGCGACUGGCGACAUUACAUGGCCUAUGCCUGUCAACCUCAAGCGGCUUAUCUGGAAUGCUCAAAAGACUUUCAAGAUUGAUUUGAGAAGACCUUCUGACAUGCACCCCAUGGAAAUUGUGGAAGCAAUGGAUAAGUUGCAAGAAAGACUCAAGGUUGUCCCAGGAGACGAUGCCAUGAGCAUCGAGGCUCAGAAGAAUGCUACUCUGCUCUUCAAUAUCCUGCUCCGUAGCACAUUUGCUAGUAAGAGGAUAUUGAAAGAAUACAAGCUCACAAGGGAAUCUUUCGAAUGGGUCAUCGGUGAGAUAGAAUCGAGAUUCCACCAGUCUUUGGUAGCUCCUGGUGAGAUGAUUGGAUGCGUAGCUGCACAGUCCAUUGGAGAACCAGCAACUCAGAUGACGCUGAAUACUUUCCAUUAUGCCGGUGUUAGCGCCAAGAAUGUCACCCUUGGUGUCCCCAGGUUAAGGGAGAUCAUUAACGUCGCCAAGAAGAUAAAGACCCCGUCGUUGUCUGUUUUCCUAAAGCCUGAGGUGAGCAAGAAGAAAGAAUUGGCCAAGAAUGUCCAGUGUGCCUUGGAGUACACUACGCUACGUAGCGUGACCCAUGCCACCGAGAUAUGGUAUGAUCCUGAUCCUCUAGGAACCACCAUUGAAGAGGAUGUGGAAUUUGUCAAGUCAUAUUAUGAAAUGCCUGAUGAGGAUAUUGACCCGGAUAAGCUGUCUCCUUGGCUGCUGCGUAUCGAACUGAACCGUGAGAUGGUGGUAGAUAAGAGGUUGAGCAUGGCUGAAAUUGCAGAGAAGAUCAGACAUGAAUUUGAUGAUGACUUGUCAUGCAUAUUCAAUGAUGAUAACGCGGAUAAGCUCAUUCUUCGUAUCCGCAUUAAAAAUGAUGAUGAAACUCCAAAACAGGAUGAGGAUGAUGAUGUCUUCCUCAAGAAGGUUGAGAGUAACAUGUUGACUGAGAUGGCCCUUGGAGGCAUUGCAGAUAUUAACAAGGUCUUCAUCAAAGAGAAGAAGGUGAAUAGAUUUGAUGAAAAUGAUGGUUUCACUCAAAAAGAAGAGUGGAUGCUUGAUACAGAAGGUGUAAACCUCUUGGCAGUGAUGUGCCACGAGGAUGUUGACGCUACAAGGACAAGGAGUAACCAUCUGAUCGAAGUGAUUGAGGUUCUUGGGAUCGAGGCUGUCCGCAGGUCUCUCUUGGAUGAGCUGAGGGUGGUGAUAUCUUUUGAUGGGUCCUAUGUGAACUACAGGCAUCUGGCCAUUCUCUGCGAUACCAUGACAUACAGAGGUCACCUGAUGGCUAUUACUAGGCACGGUAUCAAUCGUAAUGACACAGGACCUCUCAUGAGAUGUUCUUUUGAAGAAACAGUGGAUAUCUUGCUUGAUGCUGCUGUGUAUGCGGAGUCUGAUUACCUGAGAGGUGUCACCGAGAACAUUAUGCUUGGCCAGCUCGCUCCUAUUGGUACAGGAGGCUGUGGAUUGUAUCUGAAUGAGGAGAUGCUGAAGCAGGCCAUUGAGCUUCAACUCCCGAGCUAUGUUGAAGGUCUGGACUAUGGCUGUGGCAUGGCAUCAGCGCAUUCAUCCAUCUCCGGGACACCAUACCAUGAUGGAGGAAUGAUGUUGCCAGUGCUGAGUCCAAAUUUCUGGGCUUCCCCCGUUACAGGUGCUCAGUUCUCGCCAUAUGUUGGGGGCAUGGCAUUCUCUCCCGUCCCAUCAAACUACAGCCAAUCCUAUACGUCUGGCCCUCCUUCCUACAGUCCGACCAGUCUAUCAUACUCGCCAACAUCGCCAAUCUAUAGUCCGGUAUCGCCGAUCUGUAGUUCGGCAUCGACAGUUUAUAGUCCAACAUCCCCAGUUUAUAGCCCGACAUCCCUUUCAUAUAGCCCAACAUCGCCAGUUUGUAGUCCAACAUCGCCAGUUUAUAGCCGGACAUCUCUUGCAUACAGCCCCACGUCACCAUCCUAUAGUCCAACAUCGCCACUCUAUAGCCCAACAUCACCAUCAUACAGUCCUACAUUGCCCUCAUCAUACAGCCCUACGUCGCCUGGUUACAGCCCGACGUCACCGAGCUACAGCCCGACAUCACCGAACUACAGCCCUACGUCACCGAACUACAGCCUGACAUCACCGAGCUACAGCCCUACUUCACCGAACUACUGCCCGACGUCACCGAGCUACAGCCCUACUUCACCGAACUACUGCCCGACGUCACCGAGCUACAGCCCUACCUCACCGAACUACUGCCCGAGGUCACCGAGCUACAGCCCUACGUCACCUUCGUACAGUCCUUCACAUGCUUAUUCUCCAAGCAGCCCAAAGAUGAUGAGCCCGUACAGUCAAGCUCCUCCAAACUACAGGUAUUCUGUUGAUAGCUUUGGCAUCUGUUCAUUCAUCUGUUGAUGCUUGGUCUGCUUACAUCUCUGUUUCCCCAGCCCUGCCUCGCCGACUUACUCGCCCACCUCACCAUCAUAUGCACAACCAAGCCCAUCGUACAGCCCGACAAGGUGAGUCCAUUUCAGUUGAUCAUCAUGCAUCCUUGUUUUUAACUUAAAAAACACUGGCGCUGUUAUUGUAACAAUCAAGACAUGGGUUUCCUAACGCAUUGCCUGAGUGUUGCAGCCCGCACACUACCUCUGGAGGACCUAGCCCAGAUUACAGCCCAACUUCCCCCAACUACAGGUAAUGCAUCAAGUCAAUCUCAUCUGUCCAGCCGUGAUGAAAGUACACACCAUCCAUUUGCUGUUCUGACAUUUGCAAUUUUUGCCAUGCAGCCCCAGCGCAAGCUACUCCCCAUCACCCACCGGGCCGCAAACUACUGACAUGGAUGACGAGACUGCUACUUGAAGCCGCUGACUUGUGAAAAUGGCUGCUGGCUGAUGCAGAACCACCACACAAGGAAACCUAUUCGUGUUUGCUUGUAUGUCUCUGUAACAAGCCUUUGUAUUUUGGCUGCGCUGCUAAAAGCAGCACUAGAGUGUAUAUAUACAAUCGAUGUAAUACGCCUCUUAGAGAGAAAAAAUAAUGGCUUGGCUGUUCAGAACAGGCAAGCCUUUGAUGUUGUGUUGUGGAUCGGAUUGUAAUGCUUAUGUUUCUCUUGGAGAGAAAAAAUAAUGUUUUCCGUUGUGGGGCUUUUGGCCUACAGUGUAGAGUAAAAAUGUUUCAGUUGGAGCUUAGCCUUGUUAUUUCGUCGAAGUUAAUGCAAUGACAAAUUGUGGUGCCUAGCUUGCUAAGACAAUGAAUCAUUCGUCGCUGCUAACUCAGUUGUUCAGGUAAGGGAGAGUGAAAAGUUUAUCUUGCAGGAAAGAGUAACUGACAGAAAUGGUACCUCACUUCCAGCGUUGGCAGAAAAAAAGGGCAUCACCCUGCUUCUUGUCCAAUCUAUACUUGGACCUUUGCUCCAGUAUGAAUGGUUGGUAGUUGCUACUGCAUACGCCGAGUUAACUUGCUUUUCGAUGCAACAGAAAAUUACGUCCAUCGUAUGCUACUCUCUGCAUUUGCUGCAUCAGAACAUAAGAUGAAAAAUUAAAAUCAUGCACAUACACCGAGUAUAUCCACUCUUGCAGAGAGAGUCAAUCAAAGUGAUGGGCUGAAUACCGGAUUCAUCCAUGGACCAGAAAAUCAUCAAUGCCUCAUCAUUUUACCAACUUUGCAAUAUCCAUCAUCUUCCCCAAUAACUCAUCCACAGUUGAGAAAUCUCCUACUUUGCACCUAUUCCUCCUGCUAAAGAAUCCCUAUAUCAUGGAAAAAUACAUGACUGCAUCUGGUGAGUGCCCUUCAUCCACCACCUCAUGGAACAAAACCACAUUCCUAUUGUGGAGGAGAGCUCUCCUUCUCCAUCCUCUCCGCCGCCUGGAAAGCCAAGCAGCAGUCUCAUUACCCGCACGGCAGGAUCCGUCGGCCGCAACAUCAGCCAAGCAGUAGUCCUCCUCCGUGAACGCAACGGCCGCCUGAGUCCUCCCGCUCUCACACAUCCCAUCCACGACCUUGUUCAGCAUGAAUGACGACAUCCGAGCCGGGCGAACGGCAGAGUUUUGGCCGGGCAUUCCGUCGAGCGCCCUGAGCGCGGCCGGCUUGGCAGAGCCCCAUGACGCGUAUGCCGGGCGUGACGACGCCGGGCCGGACGGCGGCGUCCCGCAUGGAGGAAAAGAGCUGGCUCGUGCCAGGGAGGUCACGGACAGACGCGGGCGAGCGCGGCCAAGGGGGGAGUUGAACGCGGCGAGGGAGGCGAGGGAGGCGAGGGAGCCCGGCUGCCUGGGCGGGGGAAGAGUCGGAGCACGAAAGAGGCUUGCUUGGCACGGAGGGGGGCGGAAAGCGGUGGCAUUCGGGGAGGGAGAGGACAGAGGAGGAGUGCGGGCGUGGGAGGGCGCGGCGAGGAGAGGAGGGAGUCGAGCGGGCGGCAGGCGGCAAGGGAAGGCGUGGAGUGGGGGCGGGCGAGCAGAGGAGGGAGGCGAUGAUGGGGCCGGAGUCUGGUGACCACCGCUGCGAGACGCCGGACUGCGCUGGCAGCAGCCGCCGGCGAGGGGGCGGCCGGCCGUGGGGAUGGAAGAAUGGUUUUUUUUUUUAGACAAGGAUGGAAGAAGGGGUCCACCGGCAACUCUGCCAUUCGGCCUGCGUGAUGACACAAGUGGGCUGGCUACUGUAACAAUUCAAUGGGCUUAUUGAUGGAUCACUGGGUACUGCAGUUAAUCAUAAGGCCCAUAGUUUUUUUAGUUGCAUAUAUGAGGCCCAUAGUUGGAUGUAAUGGAUCACUGGGUACUGCAGUUUCAUACGUCUUGUUCUCAAAAUGUUCAAAUUCAUAUACCGACGGCUGAAACAGACCAACAGUUCCACUGAUAAGUUGCUAUAUUUGACCCAUAUGUGUUGAUCCUUUAAUUCUGACCUUUCGGUUUUCCCGCCGGUCAGUGCUGUUGUUUAUGAAGCAUGUUUAUACUUCAAUUUGUUGCCUGUCUCCAUUCCAAAUACUCUAACUACACUUUAUCGGGUUAGUUUUCACCAUCCCAAAGCCAGCCACACAGUGUUGUCGCACCGUCCUGAUGCUCCCGUGGCCGCCAGCACGCCGUCAUGAGCGGUUUCUCUCGUUGUGAUUCGUGUCGACAGUUUGAUACAUCACCAAUGUAUCUAUAAUUUUUAAAGUAUUAGUGCUAUAUUUACAUCUUUUUUUUAUGUUUUUGGCAUAAUACUGGACUAAUAUAUUAAUCCGAUGCUGAGGGUCAGUUCCUAUUUUCUAUUGUUUUGAAAAUAUAUGCCAAAAAUUUACUGAGCCGAAACGGGCUGAAAUUUUUUGUGAGAUUUUUAUGGAAAAUAUCAGAUUUUUGGACGAAGGGACCGUCAUAAGGCGGUGCCCGGGGGUUCCACACGGCCUCCCGGCAUGACCUAAGCCCCACCCGCGUGGGGGUUUUGAAGGUCGGUGGGGCUCUUCUUUCAUCGCAAGAAAGCUAAUUUAUUAAAAAAUUGUGUUAAAAUUCCAGCAUAAUCAAGAUUAUGGAUCUCUUCAGAAGUAAUUCCAAAAUAGAGAGAAACAGGGGAGGAGAGAUCCAAUCUCGGAGGGGCUCUAGCCCCUCCGGGCGCCAUGGAGGCCAAGGACCAGAAGUGGAAACCUCUCCCCAUCUAGGGGGAGGUGCAGGAAGAAGGAGGGAGGCUUCUCUCCCCCUCUCUCCCGGUGGCGUCGAAGUGCCGCAGGGGGAACCACCAUCACGGCGAUCAUCUCCAAUAACUUCUCCGUCUUCACCGACAUCUCCAUCACCUUCCUUCCUCUCUAUUAAGCGGUCCACUCUCCCGCAAUUCGCUAUAAUCCCCUACUUGAACAUGGUGUUGAAUGCUAUUAAUUAUUAUAUGAUGAUUUAUUGCAUCUUCUUUAUGCCCGAGUAAAUUAUUUUUGUCCUAUGGGUUCAUUGUUGAAUUGUUAUGAUUGAUUUGAGUUGCAUAUGAUCAUGCUACUGUCCUGUGGUGCCCAUGUUUCAUCCAGCAUGACUGCCAUAACUUUGCAUUCCAGUGUGAUUUCAGUGUUAGUCUGGAAAAGAGCCCUCUUGGCAACAUAGUCAUUGAGGCUUUCAGCUUCAGCCAAUGGCGAAGCCACACUUGAGCUGGGUAGUCAAUUGACUACAUAGCUUUUUGCAAAAAUAACAAACAAGCAAAAUCAUGUGAAAAAUCUUAUAAAAUGUAUCCAUCUGACUGCACAAGGUUUAAUUGAUUACACAUGAUUGGAUUCCUAGCGCCGCCACUGGCCUUCUGCCAUUGGACCUAGGAUUACCUAAGAAAGUUUACCUAGUUCACAUGUAAAAUAUGUUUUAAUUCCUGUUCAAAACCUGCCACUGAUGGGUUUCAGCUCUAGCCUAUCCCAACUUGUUUGGGACUAAAAGCUUUUUUUUAGCUGCACACACUAUAUUAAUCAAUAAAACAAAGUGCAAUUGCACGCAUACAUGCGGAAACUACCAGAAAAACUUGGUUGUUUUUGUUGUUGGUAGAUGGUAUAACUGUAGAAGCACAUACAGAGGAGUUUUUGCAUUAUUACCCUUACAUGGUUUUUUAAUUACAUAGUUUCCUAUAUUAAUCGGCUUGCUUCAAGCAUCUUGCACCCAGGAUUAGCUUACAACGAGUUCAAAUGUUGUACAGCUCAGUGUGUCACACAACUGAAAGUUUGAUCGGGAAGGACACAAGCUGGCUGAUGGCGAACGCCGACCAUUUGGUCGCUGCCUACAUCUGUUUGCCCGUGUUUCAACUAGCAUACUCUAAACAGGAUACUUGGUGACAGGGUUAUACUAUCCUCUUCCUCUCAAGCGUCCAUGUUUUGCAUCCAAGGUACCAGCUUAGAAUGGUGAGACAAAGUUUAAACGUUCAGUACAGUGCAGUGUUAAAUACGUAGAUACUCCAGAUAGCAUCGUCAGCGGUUCAACAAGAUGCACAGCUAAAAGAUCGAUCAGGACCGAGCGACGAAUCUUUCAUUUUAUUGAUGACCCAAUAUACAUUCAGAAACUAUCGAGGCACCUCUCUAUUUUCUCAUAACAGUUUACACCGAGAUCUGCAGGAUUCAGAACUCAGAGGCACAAAAAAUCAUCAGGGAGGACAACAGCAUUCACAUCGCAAGAAGCUACUUCCCUAGAGGCGAGGACUAAUCAAUCGUGUGUCGUUUCCGUUCUCUCUUUAGAAGCAUCG
rnacentral:lncRNA from 1 species